rnacentral:lncRNA from 1 species
CCGAAGUCUUCCCCGAGACACAUCAUGGUUAUUGUAUGUACCAUAAACAAGGAAAUCUGAAGACCAAGUAUCAAGGCAAGGGCAUCGUUACGUUGUUUAAGAGAGCUACAGAGGCUUACAAUUUUCAAGAGUUUGAAAAGUUUAUGGUUGAAAUCGAAAGUAAAUCCUAUGAUGCAUGGGAGUAUCUGACAGAGAUGGGGAUCGAACAUUGGGCAUGAUCACAUUUUUCAGGACGUGGAUACAACAUGAUGACGUCGAACAAUGCAGAGUCGCUCAAUGCCUUAUUUAAGAAGGAUCGAGGUUACCAAUUCUCGCAAUGCUUGAAAACAUUCAUGACAAGUUGCAACAGUGGCUUCAUGAUUGUCGUGAAGAAUCACAGAGUUGCACAAGUGUGAUAACCCCGGCUCAGAAAAAUAAACUCUUCAAGACUCUAGAGGUGGCAAGGAAGGCAUAUGUAGAACUAUUAGAUCAGUUUCGCUUCUCCGCGAGAUGUGCACGUAAUUUUGGAUACAUCGUUGACUUGAAUGAUAACACAUACACGUGUAUAUAGUUUCAAUUGGAGAGUAUUCCGUGUACACAUGCAGUGGCAGUGGAUAUGUAUAGAGGAAUUCCAUCACGCACCUUAUGCAGUGCUUAUUACACGACUGGUUCUUGGAGAGCAGCAUCUGCCGAAACCAUAUUUCCUGUAUCGAAUGAAGUUGAGUGGGAAGUUUCUGAUCACAUUCUCUCAUUGAAUAACUUGUUGCCACCAGCAGUUGGCCCACGUACUCUUGGACGUAUACGUACGUCUAGAAUACCAUCGACCGGAGAAUUUUCCCGGCCUCGUAAGUGCGGCAAGUGAGGUGCAACAGGACAUACUAGAAGAUUUUGUACAAGUCAAAUCCCUC